rnacentral:misc_RNA from 1 species
AAGUCGUAACAAGGUUUCCGUAGGUGAACCUGCGGAAGGAUCAUUAACAACAUAUCCUAACUUAAAAACCCUGUGACCCAAACUGCUUGAUCCCAGUACCUCAGCAAUCUCUGGUAAAUCAUAGUGAACAGCUUUGAUUCGGAGACCUCUGAAUAACCUUGGGCGGUCGCGGUUGGUAAGGCAAGUGACCCGGUACCCUCAAGACCAGUGUUCAAUGAUCUGUCAGUGUUCAUUGACUGGAAUCAAACGUUCUGUCAGUGUGCGUUUGAUUUGCAAGGGUGGCGCAGUAAACGAUCGCUGGAGGCCGACACGGCCGGCGACUGGGUCAGCGAGCUUUGCUCCCACUGUUACUACUUACAAGAUUUCCCAAUUAGUGAAAGCUAUUGGGCUAUAACUAAACGACUGUUAACAAUGGAUAUCUCGAUUCUC